CAGAGCUCUGUGAGAAGCAGUCAUCCCGGCUUGAGUCCUUCCACCAAAUAAAACAUAACCCUCAGCUUUUAGGCUGUGCAUUUAUUUCAGUUGACAAUACCCAUAACCAAGAAUUGGACUCAUCAAGGUGCACUACUUGGUGUAAUAUCUGGGGGAGCUAUUUGAGACUUCACCUGUUGUGUGCGUAACAAAGUUAUUCUCUUUUCUGAAUUUACUAUCCCCUCACAUUUUUGCAGAAGUUGCUCUUUACAUUUAAAGGUGACAAUUUGAUGCAUGUAUUUUCCAUGUGUAAAUAUCAGUAAAGCACCUGCGUUUCCUCCUCACUAUCUGGCUCACUUUGACUGCUCUAAAACUUUGUGCCCUGCUUUGGUAACAGUGUUGAAAGGUAGCAGACUGUGCUAUCACAAAAUGUGCCACUUUGACAUACAGAGUAUUUUGAAUUGAAAGCAACUGAGAAGAAAUAGCUACAAAGUUCGCUGCCCUCCCCCAUUUGCCUAAGAGCAAGAUGGAAAUUUACAAAGGAGUCUCUCCUCCUCCCUCAACCAGAAAGGACAGUUUUGUCCCCUGGGGCAAUUGUAGACCCAAUCAGUCUGGAGAAGGCACCAAAGGCAUCUAUAUAAAACACUCUACUAACUGGCCUUUAUCCCUGCCCUUAGAAGACAAAUUGCUUUUCCUUUUCUGUCAUUUCUUCACAAAUAUAGUCUUUUGCUGAAGAUAUGGCCUAAACUGAAAUUCUAAGCCACCAAAGAGAGUUCUCACUUUCCGCUGGGUAUCUCCCAGGUAUGCAUAUAUACUUGUUAAUCAGUAUCUUUGUUUUUCUCUUGUUAACAUGACUUUUAUUGCAGGAGUCUCAGCUAAGAACUCAGAGGGUAAAGGGGGGAUUAUUUUCCUCUUAUAACAUCAUAUCAAAAAUUCUCAAAGGAGUGAAGGGGAGCUCUUGGUUAAUUGUUAUAUUCAAAUCUAGCAUCUCUACUACAUCCCUUGAAAGUGGUAUCUACAAUCUCAACCAUAUUACACACACACACACACACACACACACACAAAACAUGACAAAGAGAAUGUAGUCUUCCUGGUGUUAGAGCUGUAAAAAGGAAUAGACCAUCUGCUGUCAUCAUCUUAGGGCUGAUCUUUGACCAAAAUUUGACCCUGAUUUCUUUGAAACUCUGAUGGUGGGAACAGAAUUGCAAAUCUUCAAGUUUCUGGCUUCAAAAUAAGAAGCUUCGUCAAGGAGGGCGGGAGGAACCACAGAACUCCUCCACUGGAAGAGAGAUGGUAGAGAACACGGACUGGACAACAGGUGCCUCAUAGUGUUAGUCAAAACUGAGUGAGACUGAGUGUUCUGUUCUGUCAAUUGUUCAUCAGAAGCUGAGGGUAAGGGCGUGUGCCCUUUGAGUGGGAAGUGGCAUUUCCUCUGAAACCAGUGAGACUUCCCAGUCAUUUAUAGUGAAAAGAUCAAAUUAAGGGAUAGAAAAUAACAAGGAGAGAAAUGGGCCUCAUCAAGAAUGGAGCUGGAGUAAAUUCUUGAUUUGUCUGCUGGGCAGUACGGCAAUGUGGACUCAGCAUUUCCUGAGGCUGAGAUGUUGGUUCGGAAGGGGGGUGGAGAGGGGCACCCCAGUGCACUGGGCUGUGCCAACCACAAGUGCAGCAGCACAGACUAAGGGUCAUGGUGGGCUGAGGAGGGGGAGAGGGUGGGAACUUGAGUGAGUCCUCUGUGCUUCCACUAGAGGGCUCUUUGAGGGCUCUGGGAAGCACUGAAGGAUGCUUUGGGGAGAAGUUCUGGUCCUACAUUGAGUAAAAUUUGGCAUUUAAAAGAAAUGUCAUCUCAUUUUAUAGUUACAGGCUGAAAGGUCUGGAAAUAGUGAGCAACUAUCCUAUACCAUAAAAUUGCUGUUUGUUUUCUGACAUGACAAAAUAAAAGUUCCAAGAGAGGAGAGAUUUCUCUAGAUUUUGUUUGCUCACAUAAAUUGAGCUUAGCCCUGUGUCUGGUACAAUAUGAGGCUCAAUGAAUAUUGUUGAAUAUAUAUCAUUUAAUCUCAUCCUUACAAUAACUCUGAAAAGAGC